GCUCCCGAAGGAACCCUGCUUUGCUUGGAGGGGAGGAAAUGAACUGACGGGCGCUGGCUGCUGGCGUUCGAGCACCGGCUGUGGCUCAGUCGAAAAGGGCGCGGUUCUUGCCAGUUCACCUCCUCCAAAGCAGGUGACAAAAAAACAAAAAUCAACCAGCUGAUGGAGGGACACUGAUACCUACACAACAACCAUGAACAAUACUAGACAGACACACACUACCAUGUUGACACCACUUAGCAUUCAGCUGGUGUCUGGACGCACCCACCCCACCAUGGUGCCCUCUUGCGUCAUAAUCUAUGAGGACACCCCAAAUACACCUGUUUGUCCUGGACCGCAAUAUGGGUCAUCGAAUCUUCUUUCUGGUCUCGCCUAGUGAUGGCCUUGAUGUCGGAGCUGGGAUUGCCUAGCUGUAGCACCAGUCCUGCAAUGGUACCGACCCUGCUUGUCGUCUACCCUAUUUCCUGUCCGUCCGUCUGAUGGAUGUUGUUGGUCAACGCUAAAACAAGGUGGACAUCUAUGAUGGAGCAAGGGCCCCCACGUACCUUUUACUGAAACCUUCCUGGCCUAUGGAAGUUUUGUGUCAGGUAGCUGUCUGUCCGUCCGUCUAAGUCAAGCGUAUUGUCCUGUUUUAUGUAUGGGAAAAGGGCUCUGAUAGAGGGUACCUUUGGCGUUGUCGGCUGACCAACGCUGUGCUGUUAUCGCCUGGUUGGCUGAUGUUCCAACGUCGGGACAGUGGAGGUGGAGUUUUGGGUUUUUUAAGUAUUUACUUUCUUCGUUUUAUCUUAUUUAUUUACAGAUAACUUUAUUUUCCUUUCUUUUCAGGUUAAUGUUUUUUUUUCUCUUUUCAGGUAUCGUUUUCUUUUCAGGUGUUUAGUGUUUUCUUCCCUUACAGGUUUUUACGUUCCUGUCUUUUUCUUUAUUUAUUUCCACUUGGGUCUCACUCCACCUCCGGUAAGCUUGCUGUCCAUAACCAAAAAGAACGCUUCAUCUUGGGGACUCUAGCCAGCUUGGCUUUGGUUGGUCUCCAUCAUGAAGUUGGUCUUCCAGCCGGCACCAACAAAACAUAUGGGGGCAGCCAUAAUGACAGGUUGGUGUCAGCUGGUUGUCUCCCUCUCCCUGAUGAGGGCCAACCAUAGCCAGUAGGUGUCGCUGGAGUAAGGCAAGUCACAACCAGGUGGCGCUGUAGCGCCAUUAUUCGGCGCACACCACAAACCCAACCACCCUGCCGAUAUUCCUAUCAAAGGAUGGGAGGGAAAAAGUGCGGUUCCCACUGGAUUCCUGUUAUCUGCAAUCCCUAUCUUUACGGCGCUGUCGAAACGGAAAAUCG